CGGUAGCUCAGUGGUUAGAGCAGGCGACUCAUAAUCGCUCGGUCGCGGGUUCGAUCCCCGCUCG
rnacentral:tRNA from 1 species